rnacentral:rRNA from 1 species
UGAUCUCAAAUCAGGUAGGACUACCCGCUGAACUUAAGCAUAUCAAUAAGCGGAGGAAAAGAAACUAACAAGGAUUCCCCUAGUAACGGCGAGUGAAGCGGGAAGAGCUCAAAUUUAAAAUCUGGCGGUGUAUUCCGUCCGAGUUGUAGUCUAGAGAAGCAUCAUCCGCGCCGGACCAUGUACAAGUCUCUUGGAACAGAGCGUCAUAGAGGGUGAGAAUCCCGUCCUUGACAUGGACUCCCGGUGCUUUGUGUUGUGCUCUCAACGAGUCGAGUUGUUUGGGAAUGCAGCUCAAAAUGGGUGGUAAAUUCCAUCUAAAGCUAAAUAUUGGCGAGAGACCGAUAGCGAACAAGUACCGUGAGGGAAAGAUGAAAAGCACUUUGGAGAGAGAGUUAAACAGUACGUGAAAUUGUUGAAAUGGAAACGCUUGAAGUCAGUCGCGUUCUCUGGGACUCAGCCUUGCUUCUGCUUGGUGUAUUUCCUAGUCUACGGGCCAGUAUGAAUUUCGACCGAUAGAAAAGGGCUGGAGGAAUGUGGCACCUUCGGGUGUGUUAUAGCCUCCAGUCGCAUGUGUCGGUUGGGAUUGAGGACCUCAGUGCACGCUUUUGUUGUGCUUGAUGCGC